CGGAGGAAAAGAAACUAACAAGGAUUCCCCUAGUAGCGGCGAGCGAAGCGGGAAGAGCCCGGGAUGAAAAUCUCUGCGGAGAAUUGUAGUCUGAGCGUCCUUGGGUGGUCAGUGCGGGCAAGUCGUCUGGAAUGGCGCGCCAUGGAGGGUGAGAGCCCCGUCCAUCCCGCACAGGAUCCAUCCGCACAAGGGCGCUUCAACCGAGUCGGGUAGCUUGGGAAUGCUGCUCUAAUUGGUGGUAAAUCUCAUCAAAGGCUAAAUAGCGGUGGGAGACCGAUAGCGAACAAGUACCGUGAGGGAAAGAUGGAAAGAACUUUGAAAAGAGAGUGAAAAGCACUUGAAACCGUCACGGGGGAAGCGGAUUGCGUGAGUGAUGGCGCCGCUUGUUCAGCGCAUUCGUGCGUGCAUUCUGGCGGCGCCGUGCCGGCGUGGCUGGCGGGCGCGGUAUGUUACCGGGCGCGCUGGUGAGGGCUCCCUUCACAGGUGAGGACGCGGGCAAAAUGACGCAAUACGACCCGUCUUGAAACACGGACCAAGGAGUCUAGCACGGCUGCGAGUCGAAGGGUGAUGAAACCCAAGGGCGCAGUGAAAGCGAAGUGAUAAGCAAAUUGGGGAGGCGUUGCGUUUUCAACAAAAUGUCCUACCUCGAGCAUUUGUGCUGGGACCCGAAAGAUGGUGAACUAUGCCGGAGUAGGGCAAAGCCAGAGGAAACUCUGGUGGAGGCUCGUAGCGAUGCUGACGUGCAAAUCGCUCGUCGAACUUGGGUAUAGGGGCGAAAGACUAAUCGAACCAUCUAGUAGCUGGUUCCCUCCGAAGUUUCUCUCAGGAUAGCGGGCCGACACGCGUUUGUUGUUUUGUGCGGUAAAGCGAAUGAUUAGUGCAUUUGGGGACCGAAGGUCUUCGGGCGAUUCUCAAACUUUAAAUGCGCAAGGGGGCGGCUGCUUAAUUGAGCCUGCUCUUUGAAAAACGUCGGCCCUGUGGGCCACUUUUGGUAAGCAGAACUGGCGAUAAGGGAUGAACCUUAAGCGCGGUUAAGGCGCCUCAUUGCCCGCUUAUAGACCCCACAAAAGGUGUUGAUUCAUCUAGACAGCAGGACGGUGGCCAUGGAAGUCGGAAUCCGCUAAGGAGU
rnacentral:rRNA from 1 species